rnacentral:rRNA from 1 species
UACGAAGGGGGCUAGCGUUGUUCGGAAUCACUGGGCGUAAAGGGCGCGUAGGCGGCUUUAUAAGUCGGGGGUGAAAGCCUGUGGCUCAACCACAGAAUUGCCUUCGAUACUGUAUGGCUUGAGACCGGAAGAGGUAAGUGGAACUGCGAGUGUAGAGGUGAAAUUCGUAGAUAUUCGCAAGAACACCAGUGGCGAAGGCGGCUUACUGGUCCGGUUCUGACGCUGAGGCGCGAAAGCGCGGGGAGCAAACAGG